UUCUUCACAUGAUCUUGCUGUUGGCUGGGACACUCUCUUCUGGUUUGCAGCAUCUAGGGUAAACUUCAUCACUACGUGCAUGGCUUGGCAUGGUUAAAGCUAGAGUUGGUAGUCCUGGAGAGCUAGCAAGAGAGCUAGGAAGAUUUGAAAAUAGCACCUCCUCUAGGUUCUGUCAGUGCUCCGUCCAAAGCCACGCCCCCACAAACCUGAACGCGCACACUGUGGGACUCAGCGGGACAGAGGACAGCUGACUAAAGGCCCUUCCCACCCGCUGUGAUCCCAGCUGAAUGUUGGUCUUUGUUCUACCGGCAGCCACGUGCUCUACGCUGGACGCUGUGUAUAUAAAAUAAUUAUUUUGUGUUGGAUUAAUCAUUAUCUCUGCAAAUUGGCCGUUGAAAACGGCUGUAAUCACUUUCUGAAUCACACAGGACCGGUCCAGCUUCAGCUGUUCGUGUGCGCACGCCUAUCAAGCUGCAGAAAGCAUUUUGAGCCAUCUAAAAAGACGAGCUGUGCUCUGAUGCGAUCCACUGACGUCACCACUCGCUCUGUUCACUUCUUUACUCCACAUCAUGUUGGCGAUUUGAUCGCGCCAUGUAGACUUCAGACAAUUUCGAUGUUGGCCAUGUUUUGAAUCUAACAGUUACCGGGGAAGAGUCUGGGAAACCUUGUGAAUGAUUAAAGAUACGGCAGCAAAUAUCUUGACGAUCUGACAGUGCACCACUUACCAGAGACAAGAAUGAGAAGAAGCUUCCCGUUCUUUUCAAGGAGACUCUGAAAGAAGGUGAUGGUUGAUCCAGGAUCCUUCACAUAAUAC